AGUUUUUUUUUGUCUUUUCUAAGUUAUUCUUUAUGUCUGUUUGAUAUCUCUGUUCUCUAGUUCCUAUCUUUAAAAGACAGCUGCAUCACCACAGACAGAAUUCAGAAGAGGAAAACCAGCUAUCAACUGGCGCCUGGGCGGACGGAGGAUGAAAGCCGGCAGAACUGAGAGCAGGGGAGGGAAGAAGAAAGGCCCCUGGAGACCCGGUGCGGGCCAAACACAACAAACAAAAUCCUCCGCAGAGAACGGAGAUGCCAACCAGGGAGGAGACGGGGGAAGCCCUGAUGUCUCCAUCCAGAAAAGAAGAUCCCAGGCAGGCGACGUAGGUGCUCCGGGAGCAAACCUGCCGCGGAGUACAAGGCGCAGGCUCCGGGUUCGUGAACAAACGGGAGGGAGGCGCUCAAGCCCAGGACGCAGGCAGAACCCGGGGAGAGGGAGAAAUGCUUCCAAUUGAGCUGGAGUGGUGAAGGAUGAAGAGACGGCAAUGCAUGGGUUUAGAGGAGCCUCCCAGCAGGACCAUCCCUGCGCUCUCUCUAACCUUGCAUAGGAAAAAUGAGGAGCAUGACUGGGUCUGUGGAAGCAGGGUAAUGAAAUUAAGCUGUCUUUUCCCUUCCAGCUGAGAGUCAUUCCUUCUAAAGCUGCCCCCAUAUAUUACCUGCAAUUGACAGACAAAAGCAUUUUAUAUAUAGCUCACUUCCUGCUCUUGCCUUUUUGUGUGCUUACAUUGCUAUGAGUUAUAAAAGUCACAAAGCAGGGGAAUCCAAAAUUCAUACAUGUGCGUAGAUGCCACUGAUUAAGUUCUUAAGGUGUUCCAUGAGGCUGAGAUGAAAGGCCAGGUUAUUUCAUGGUCCUUGUGGUCUCCUGUGAAUUUCUAAGGCUCCCUGGAGUACCACCUUUACAGCCUUACCACAUUUUCUUGUAAACAGAUUGGAAAAGGUAAGAAUACAAGGUAGACAGCUCCCUUUGGGCACAAAUUCCCCUUGUGCUGUUGGACUAAUCCUUUUCUGAUUACUCAUAGUCAUCAAGAGAAAUACUACUACUUUGUCUCGAGAAGUUUUUCUUCACGUUUUUGAAUAGUUCACAGUCUGUGACAUUUUUAUGUAGCUAUUUUGAGUCAGAGACAUUUUGAUAGAGCCCCAAAAAUAAACCAUUAAACUUUCAGCUCAUUUUUUUUUAAGUAAUAUAACUGACAUAUAUUCCAUUACCAUGUCACAUGUACAACCCCCUCCUCCCAGCUCCAUCCCUUAAUCAACCUCAGGCUGUGGGGUAGAGAAAACUCGGAGGGAGUCUCCAUGAGGGGCUGAGGGAUGGGGUGAGUCUUGAAAUUGGUUUAAUACUCGGGGAUAUUAGUUGCACGCAUUACUUUGUAAUGAAAUUUUGAAAUGACCAUUUUAAGGCAGCCAAGUCAAAAUGGCGUAGUCAAUAUGUUGUCUUUUACAGCUGAAGGUUGGCAGUUUUACAAGUGAUGGGUGGGCAGGUUGAAUCAAGCCCCUCUCCAGUUACUGCUCCCAAACCAAAAUACAGAAUUGGCUUGCAAGAGAGGGGCUUCUCAGACAUUACCUAAGAGUCUUGGCGAGAAAAACUCCUCUAAAUCGGGCAAAAGAAUCCAGCUGGACUCUGAUGUUGUGAGACUCUUUUUCUGAGUCACUCUGAUUGUAUUCUGAAGACUCUCAGGAUGAAACCCACAUGAAACAGCAUGUGCUUCCCUCAGGAACUUAGACUGAGUCUAAACACGCGUUCACCUGGCCCUUGGCCAAACACGUGCACACACAGGUGGUUUGGUUUACUCUCUUUACGCUGCUAUUUGCCUCUCCCAGGGACGUAGAGAUGCUCCUUAAUGUUGCUGCAAGAUGGGAUGCAAAGAAGCCCAGGAACUUCUGGAGAAUGUUGUUUAGACUAAAAGCAAGCUCUUGCCAAAUAAAAAAUGGGGAGUUAUAAACUAUAAUGUGUCCCGCGUGCUCCCCCUGGGAACACAGGGGUUUCACUCUCACUGUCCACUGUGGCCUUGCACUGCUUUGUGGAACUGCUGAUUGAAGCUGCUGUUAGUGACUUAGUUGUCCUUUAUAUGCUGCUGCAUCAUCAGUUUGCUGUUCAAAACCCUUUAGGUAAGACGUUGCUUGCAUGUCUCCCUGGGAUCUGAGUUUGACCUCUUCUGGAGAGAGGAGUAUUUCAUGAGGAUUUCAUCACUGCCCACCUUAGCUAAAUUUCAAGUCAGCGAGCAUUAUGGAAGUAGUGGGAGGGAAAGAAGGAAGAAACCUGUCACACCAGAGAUUUGGCUUCUUGGAUGUGUUAGCUGGCACCCACAGAUCCACUGUGAAGGAGCUAAACUCAUCAUUAGCCUAAUCUAUGACAUGUGGUAUUCUGCUUAAAAUAAACUUGUUUUCAUGUCUCUACAUUUCAAUUUUCUUCUCUAUUAGGUUUCUAUGGUAUCUUAUUGUAUUCACUCUUUGUAUUACAAAGUCUUUUGUGGAGAAAAAUUAAAAGGCUGUGAAUAUUGUUAACAAAAGGGAAAACGAUGAAGUAUGAGAUCUCACGUUUAUUGAGCACUUGCCACGUGUAAGGUAUUUUAGUUUAUUUUUUUUUUGCUGA